UAGUGAGGGUUGAAAUUUGUAGAGACAAAACGCUCCAAGUAUGACGCACUUCAGCAGAGGUACUGAAAGUGCUCCCAGCUGAGUUAGCAUUGAAAACGCUUUCAACUGGACACGCUCUCAAUACUUCUGAUGACAGUGCCUCUUGCUUGGAGCAUUUUGUCUCUGCAAAUUUCAACCCCCCACUAU
rnacentral:pre_miRNA from 1 species